rnacentral:rRNA from 1 species
AGCGAACGCUGGCGGCGUGCUUAACACAUGCAAGUCGAGCGAAGGUGUUUCAAGGGUAACCUUGAGAUACACUUAGCGGCGGACGGGUGAGUAAUACGUGGAUAACUUACCUCUAGGCCUGGGAUAACCCCGGGAAACUGGGGCUAAUACCUGAUAAGACCACAUUGUCUACGGACAAAGGGGUAAAAGGUGGCUGUGCAAACAGCUAUCGCCAAAAGAUAGGUUCACGUCCCAUCAGGCAGUUGGUGAGGUAAUGGCUCACC